rnacentral:rRNA from 1 species
AUCCGGGUUGCGGACAGUGUCUGGUGGGUAGUUUGACUGGGGCGGUCUCCUCCUAAAGAGUAACGGAGGAGCACGAAGGUUGGCUAAUCCUGGUCGGACAUCAGGAGGUUAGUGCAAUGGCAUAAGCCAGCUUGACUGCGAGCGUGACGGCGCGAGCAGGUGCGAAAGCAGGUCAUAGUGAUCCGGUGGUUCUGAAUGGAAGGGCCAUCGCUCAACGGAUAAAAGGUACUCCGGGGAUAACAGGCUGAUACCGCCCAAGAGUUCAUAUCGACGGCGGUGUUUGGCACCUCGAUGUCGGCUCAUCACAUCCUGGGGCUGAAGUAGGUCCCAAGGGUAUGGCUGUUCGCCAUUUAAAGUGGUACGCGAGCUGGGUUUAGAACGUCGUGAGACAGUUCGGUCCCUAUCUGCCGUGGGCGCUGGAGAACUGAGGGGGGCUGCUCCUAGUACGAGAGGACC